UUCACCUCUACCAAUUCUGAUGAUUUAACAGAAAUGCCUAUUCAGAGCUAUCCAGAAAAAGGAGUUGCUGGUGGUGUCAUCUCAUGUACUCACACUGGGCAUGGAGAAGCCUACAGGCUGCUCUGGGUUACGCUGUGUUUCUCAUCUCAAUCUUGAAGCCCUGCUGUGGGAGGUGGUAAACGAGGAUGAACCAAUCACAUACCAUCGAUCCAACACAGCUUUUGGUCAGUGUUUUGCUUCAUGAAGAGGACAGGAAUUAAACCACACACAGUGGAAAAGAAUCUACAGCCUGCAAGGAGCCCACCCUGGAGCUGGUUUAUGCAGUCACACUGCAGCCCAUGGAAAGGACCCAUGCUGGAGCAAGGGAAAAGCGUGAGGAAGAAGGAGCAGCAGAGAGGAGAUGUGAUGGAUGAAUCACAAACCCCUGUUCUCCAUCACCCCUGCAUCCCUCAGGAGAGGAGGCAGAAGAGCUGGGAGCCAAGGAGUGAAGCUGAGCCUGGGAAAGGGGUGCAGGAGGAAGGUGAUUGAUCUUUUUGGCUGUUUCUCACCAUCCAACUCUAUUUUUAUUUGGUAACGAAGUACAUUAAUUUUCCCCAGGUCUUGUUGUUUUGCCCAUGAUGGUAAUUGCUAAGUGAUUCCCAUGUCU